UCGAAGCGAGUAAGAUCCCUUGAAGAUGACGAGGUAGAUAGGUCCGAGGUGGAAGCGUGGUGACACGUGGAGCUGACGGAUACUAAUCGAUCGAGGACUUAACCAA
rnacentral:rRNA from 1 species